rnacentral:rRNA from 1 species
AUUGAACGCUGGCGGCAUGCCUUACACAUGCAAGUCGAACGGUAACAGGUCUUCGGAUGCUGACGAGUGGCGAACGGGUGAGUAAUACAUCGGAACGUGCCUAGUAGUGGGGGAUAACUACUCGAAAGAGUGGCUAAUACCGCAUGAGAUCUACGGAUGAAAGCAGGGGAUCGCAAGACCUUGUGCUACUAGAGCGGCCGAUGGCAGAUUAGGUAGUUGGUGGGAUAAAAGCUUACCAAGCCGACGAUCUGUAGCUGGUCUGAGAGGAAGAUCAGCCACGAUGGGACUGAGACACGGCCCAGACUCCUACGGGAGGCAGCAGUGGGGAAUUUUGGACAAUGGGCGCAAGCCUGAUCCAGCAAUGCCGCGUGCAGGAUGAAGGCCUUCGGGUUGUAAACUGCUUUUGUACGGAACGAAAAGCCCCGGGUUAAUACCCUGGGGUCAUGACGGUACCGUAAGAAUAAGCACCGGCUAACUACGUGCCAGCCGCCGCGGUAA